rnacentral:rRNA from 1 species
UUUCCGAAUGGGGAAACCCAGUGUGAUUCGUCACACUAUCAUUAACUGAAUCCAUAGGUUAAUGAGGCGAACCGGGGGAACUGAAACAUCUAAGUACCCCGAGGAAAAGAAAUCAACCGAGAUUCCCCCAGUAGCGGCGAGCGAACGGGGAGCAGCCCAGAGCCUGAAUCAGUGUGUGUGUUAGUGGAAGCGUCUGGAAAGGCGCGCGAUACAGGGUGACAGCCCCGUACACAAAAAUGCACAUGCUGUGAGCUCGAUGAGUAGGGCGGGACACGUGGUAUCCUGUCUGAAUAUGGGGGGACCAUCCUCCAAGGCUAAAUACUCCUGACUGACCGAUAGUGAACCAGUACCGUGAGGGAAAGGCGAAAAGAACCCCGGCGAGGGGAGUGAAAAAGAACCUGAAACCGUGUACGUACAAGCAGUGGGAGCACGCUUAGGCGUGUGACUGCGUACCUUUUGUAUAAUGGGUCAGCGACUUAUAUUCUGUAGCAAGGUUAACCGAAUAGGGGAGCCGAAGGGAAACCGAGUCUUAACUGGGCGUUAAGUUGCAGGGUAUAGACCCGAAACCCGGUGAUCUAGCCAUGGGCAGGUUGAAGGUUGGGUAACACUAACUGGAGGACCGAACCGACUAAUGUUGAAAAAUUAGCGGAUGACUUGUGGCUGGGGGUGAAAGGCCAAUCAAACCGGGAGAUAGCUGGUUCUCCCCGAAAGCUAUUUAGGUAGCGCCUCGUGAAUUCAUCUCCGGGGGUAGAGCACUGUUUCGGCAAGGGGGUCAUCCCGACUUACCAACCCGAUGCAAACUGCGAAUACCGGAGAAUGUUAUCACGGGAGACACACGGCGGGUGCUAACGUCCGUCGUGAAGAGGGAAACAACCCAGACCGCCAGCUAAGGUCCCAAAGUCAUGGUUAAGUGGGAAACGAUGUGGGAAGGCCCAGACAGCCAGGAUGUUGGCUUAGAAGCAGCCAUCAUUUAAAGAAAGCGUAAUAGCUCACUGGUCGAGUCGGCCUGCGCGGAAGAUGUAACGGGGCUAAACCAUGCACCGAAGCUGCGGCAGCGACGCUUAUGCGUUGUUGGGUAGGGGAGCGUUCUGUAAGCCUGCGAAGGUGUGCUGUGAGGCAUGCUGGAGGUAUCAGAAGUGCGAAUGCUGACAUAAGUAACGAUAAAGCGGGUGAAAAGCCCGCUCGCCGGAAGACCAAGGGUUCCUGUCCAACGUUAAUCGGGGCAGGGUGAGUCGACCCCUAAGGCGAGGCCGAAAGGCGUAGUCGAUGGGAAACAGGUUAAUAUUCCUGUACUUGGUGUUACUGCGAAGGGGGGACGGAGAAGGCUAUGUUGGCCGGGCGACGGUUGUCCCGGUUUAAGCGUGUAGGCUGGUUUUCCAGGCAAAUCCGGAAAAUCAAGGCUGAGGCGUGAUGACGAGGCACUACGGUGCUGAAGCAACAAAUGCCCUGCUUCCAGGAAAAGCCUCUAAGCAUCAGGUAACAUCAAAUCGUACCCCAAACCGACACAGGUGGUCAGGUAGAGAAUACCAAGGCGCUUGAGAGAACUCGGGUGAAGGAACUAGGCAAAAUGGUGCCGUAACUUCGGGAGAAGGCACGCUGAUAUGUAGGUGAAGUCCCUCGCGGAUGGAGCUGAAAUCAGUCGAAGAUACCAGCUGGCUGCAACUGUUUAUUAAAAACACAGCACUGUGCAAACACGAAAGUGGACGUAUACGGUGUGACGCCUGCCCGGUGC